rnacentral:rRNA from 1 species
UCUGGCGGCAGUAGCGCGGUGGUGCCACCUGACCCCAUGCCGAACUCAGAAGUGAAACGCCGUAGCGCCGAUGGUAGUGUGGGGUCUCCCCAUGCGAGAGUAGGGAACUGCCAGAC